GUCGCUCCCCUCUGGCCAAGUCCGGCUCUCAGGAGCGUUUGAUUAUAGAAAGCAAAAAGUGAGGUAUACUGUUUUUCUUUUGAAUCCUGAAGUUCUUGCUUUCUUUUCAAUGCGAGCGAUCGUGCACUGAAACAGAUUGCCCAGAGUCCCCUCGCUGGAGAUUCAAGAGCCGUCUGGAUACAAUGCUGUGCGCUGUGCUCUGAGGUGCCCCUGCUUGAGCAGGGAGUUUGGACGAGAUGACCCAAAGUGGUCCCUUCCAGUCUUGCCCAUUCCGUGGCUCUUCAGCAGGACUGAAGCUUUGUGCCCUUCUCCGCCCGCGUACAUACACAGCGCUCCGUGGUUUCCUCUAAGCGAAACAAGGGUGGAGAAAAUAGAGAAACUAUUAGAGAAAAUAGAGGUGGAGGGGCUACAUGACUUACAUAGAAAAACCCAACAUUGAUCAUCCUUACCACCUCAACAAUUAGCACAGCAUCAGCUUCAGAGAAAGACACUCGCUGGGAGCUGUUGCUGCGGGGAGAAGGGAAUUCACCAUCACCCAGAUGGAGCUGCUGCUGCUUCUCCUUCCCUCUUCGCUGCUGAGCCUCGCACCCCUUGUCCUGCCGGGACGUGUGGCAGUGCCAGGCACCGCCGCGGAGCUGCUGAUCCACCUCAUCCACCAGCCCAGGAUCUCAGCUCAUCCCUGCUGUUCCAGCUGACUGUUUCCUCGGAGCCCUGCAGGAGCACCGGGACUGCCCGCCCGAGGGGGUUUGUGAAACAAAACCUCUCCUCCAUCGCGUCUCAGCCGAGAAGGCUGUCACGGGGUCCCUGGUUCUGUUUUCUUGUUAAUGUUGUAGUUAUUGUUGUUUGUUUGCCUUGCUAUAAAUAGUAGUAAAGAACUGUUAUUCCUAUCCCCAGAUCUCUGCCUGAGAGCCCUUGAUUUCAAAAUUAUAGUAAUUUGGAGGGAGGCUCCUGUCCUCCCUAGCAGACACCUGUCUUCCAAAACUGAGGCAAGUAUACAAAAAAGAGGGCGAUUUACAUACAAAAAAUGU